GUGAUAUCCCUGUGUACCUGAGGUCUUCUGAAGGUUGCUAGAUGUCUGCCCAGUAGAUCCCAAUCUGAGUAACGUUACAUAAGGAUGUGAACUUACACCUCUUGAGGCUGGACAUUGUGCUGCUCCCACUACUUCCUUUCUUCUCAAGCAGCUAAUCAAAAGGAAUUGAGAACUGCUGGUGAAGAAAAGAGAGUGAAGAUUUGAAUGAUGCAAAGACACUGGGAUUCAUCACUAGUUGCUACAUCACAGUGAAGCAGUAGGCAAACUGGAGCGGCUUCAGGACUGAACAACUGAAACACUAUAUACUUUGGAAACUUAAACUGGGGGGGGAAAGGUUAAACAGACAGAAAAAUAUUCAUCUGGAAGAUGAGUGAUUGAGAGUAUGUGGAAGCAGAGUUGAUGUCAAAAUCUUUGUGACCACAGGCCUUGGAAGAAUUGACGGGAGAAAAGGUUAAAAUUCUGAUAAGAUACGUAUUUAAGUAAGAGUAUAAUAUUCAGAAUCUUUACAUUACAAUAAGAUGCAUCCUUUUGUGCUUAAAUUUCUUUAGAUCCUCUUACCUCUGCUUACCAGGUAGGGGAGGAAAUAUCUACAUUACUGAAUGUUGUCACAUAGAGUAAAAAAUAAUUUACUCCUCCUUUCAUACACUCAUCUAUUGCUUUUUUUUUUUUUAAGCUUUCCUUGUUACACUUCUCUAUCAUGUCCAGGUAGUAUGAGCUGUACCACAUCAAUACAGCUAGCACCAACAUUACUCAAGCAUUCUCAGUCAUACUUGAUCCACAGUGAUGUUCUAGUGAUUGGCAGCCAUGAGUUUGGAAACAAUUACUCUUAAUGACCUGUAUUGACACUCUUGUUUGUAGGAAUAUUUGAAGACAAACUCAUUGAUGUCUGUUGUUGAUGAAUGAGAUGAAGACCUGCUGGGAAUCACAUUCAUUCAGGAAAUUUAGUGAGAAAUAAAAAAUGUCCUACACUGCUAUUAAGUAGUACUCAAUCAUGAUACAAAACUUCCUUGAUUUAGCACAGUAGUCCUAUUGUAGGGCAUCCUGCCAUUACUGCUAAGCUAACUCAUGACAACUUUGUAAACAGAUUGUUUUAGCAGCAGAUGCAGUUGCUUAAUGUUCCCAGGCAUAGAAUAAAAAACUGAUGUCUGAAAAAGGAAUAAAGGUUUAUGGCUACAUGGCAAAAAUAGGCUCGGCUAAUAAAAUAACUGCCAUCAGUCCUCAGUCCCCAACUGAGCUCUGGCAUCCAAGGCUGACUUACAGGUAGCUCACAGAAAAAUGUUAGCCUGAGAUCUGGUGAUAUUUCUGAUAAUCUUUCUUACUGAUGUGCAAGGAACCAAACACAAAUAAUUCCCUGAUACUAUGCAGAGGCAGGUGUUUUUUAAAUUUAGGAACGAAACUGGUCUGUCCUCUUUGCUUAAACAACAACAAAAAAAUCAGUAUCUCUCAUACUACUUGCAUCUCUUCCACUGUUGAUUGUAUUCUCUUGCAGAUUGCCAGAGUCCCAGAAUAUGAUGGCAAGCACUCAGAAAUCAAAUUAGGCCCUUUACUCAUCUCCUCUUAAUCUAGCAGCCAUUGUUUGCCUAAGCUGUAACUCCUCUGGAAUAUGGCUGGGGAGAUGAGGCUGUGAAAUCCUUAAGUGAACCUAUUUGUUUGUAGUGUGAGAGGAGCCUCUUGAUGAAUUAUGUGGAUGAGUGUUACUUCACUGGCCAAAAGUUCACUGCACAAAGCAGCCAGAUGACUACUUAGGCUGGCAAAAUGCUAUUUCACUUUUCAUAGUCCUGUGUACCUUUGUAUAUGGUUUUGCAGGGAGGAGUGAGGGAACCUUUAAAUCUGUGCUUCUCCCUUAUCCAUUUGGUACAGAGAUGGAACCACCAACCUGGGACUCAGCAUAUUAUUCUCAUUUGAGUACACAGACAAAUCAUUCUGAAGGAGCUAGAAGUCAAGAUACCUAGGGCUGUAAUCUUACUUUUAGGUAAUACCAAGCAUUAUACGGAACUUCUCUGGUUCUAUUCUACUUUGUCAAGAUAUCUUCUUAUCUCUUUAGUGGUAAAGAAAACCUAUAAAUCCUGUGACCAUCUGAAGAAAAAAAGAAAUUAUAGAAUCAUAGAAUUAUGGUAUGGUUUAGCUUGGAAGGGAUCUUUAAGAUCUUAGUUCCAACCCACCUGCUAUAGGCAGGGGUAACUCCCUCUAGACUAGGCC